rnacentral:rRNA from 1 species
GACGAACGCUGGCGGCGUGCCUAAUACUUGCAAGUCGAGCGAAGUUUUUCUGGUGCUUGCACUAGAAAAACUUAGCGGCGAACGGGUGAGUAACACGUAAAGAACCUGCCUCAUAGACUGGGACAACUAUUGGAAACGAUAGCUAAUACCGGAUAACAGUAUUUCUCGCAUGAGAGAUAUUUAAAAGUUGGUUAUGCUAACACUAUGAGAUGGCUUUGCGGUGCAUUAGCUAGUUGGUGGGGUAAAGGCCCACCAAGGCGACGAUGCAUAGCCGACCUGAGAGGGUGAUCGGCCACACUGGGACUGAGACACGGCCCAGACUCCUACGGGAGGCAGCAGUAGGGAAUCUUCCGCAAUGGGCGAAAGCCUGACGGAGCAACGCCGCGUGAGUGAAGAAGGAUUUCGGUUCGUAAAGCUCUGUUGUUAGGGAAGAAUGGAUAUGUAGUAACUAUACAUGUAAGAGACGGUACCUAACCAGAAAGCCACGGCUAACUACGUG